AACGAACGCUGGCGGCAUGCCUAACACAUGCAAGUCGAACGGAUGGCUUCGGCCAUUAGUGGCGCACGGGUGCGUAACGCGUGGGAAUCUGCCCUUAGGUUCGGAAUAACUCAGGGAAACUUGAGCUAAUACCGGAUAAUGACUUCGGUCCAAAGAUUUAUCGCCUAGGGAUGAGCCCGCGUAGGAUUAGCUUGUUGGUGAGGUAAAAGCUCACCAAGGCGACGAUCCAGUCUGGUCUGAGAGGAUGAUCAGCCACACU
rnacentral:rRNA from 1 species